AAACUCUGGAGAGACCGGUUCGAUCCGGCGCCGAAGGGGCACGAAGCCGCGCACAUGCGUGCUUCCAAACUCUCAGGCAAAAGGACAGAGGGG
rnacentral:ncRNA from 1 species